rnacentral:rRNA from 1 species
CCCUUAGAUGUUCUGGGCCGCACACGCGCUACACUGAAGGAGGCAGCGUGUACUCCUGGAUCGAAAGAUUUGGGUAACCCGCGAAUCUCCUUCGUGCUAGGGAUUGAGGGUUGCAAUUAUCCUUCAUGAACGAGGAAUUCCCAGUAAGUGCAAGUCAUAAGCUUGCGCUGACUACGUCCCUGCCCUUUGUACACACCGCCCGUCGCUACUACCGAUUGAAUGAUUUAGUGAGGACUUCGGACUGGGACCGAUGCGGCUUUCGGGCUGCGUCGGUAUUCUGGAAAGAUGUCCAAACUGUAUCAUUUAGAGGAAGUAAAANUCGUANCA